rnacentral:rRNA from 1 species
GACGUAGGGCGCGAGCGUUGUCCGGAUUUCUUGGGCGUAAAGAGCUCGUAGGCGGCUUGUCGCGUCGUCCGUGAAAACUCACAGCUUAACUGUGAGCUUGCGGUCGAUACGGGCAGGCUAGAGUUCGGUAGGGGAGACUGGAAUUCCUGGUGUAGCGGUGAAAUGCGCAGAUAUCAGGAGGAACACCGGUGGCGAAGGCGGGUCUCUGGGCCGAUACUGACACUGAGAAGCGAAAGCGUGGGGAGCGAACAGG